UAAGCGACUAAGCGUACACGGUGGAUGCCCUGGCAGUCAGAGGCGAUGAAGGACGUGCUAAUCUGCGAUAAGCGUCGGUAAGGUGAUAUGAACCGUUAUAACCGGCGAUUUCCGAAUGGGGAAACCCAGUGUGUUUCGACACACUAUCAUUAACUGAAUCCAUAGGUUAAUGAGGCGAACCGGGGGAACUGAAACAUCUAAGUACCCCGAGGAAAAGAAAUCAACCGAGAUUCCCCCAGUAGCGGCGAGCGAACGGGGAGCAGCCCAGAGCCUGAAUCAGUAUGUGUGUUAGUGGAAGCGUCUGGAAAGGCGCGCGAUACAGGGUGACAGCCCCGUACACAAAAAUGCACAUAUUGUGAGCUCGAUGAGUAGGGCGGGACACGUGGUAUCCUGUCUGAAUAUGGGGGGACCAUCCUCCAAGGCUAAAUACUCCUGACUGACCGAUAGUGAACCAGUACCGUGAGGGAAAGGCGAAAAGAACCCCGGCGAGGGGAGUGAAAAAGAACCUGAAACCGUGUACGUACAAGCAGUGGGAGCACGCUUAGGCGUGUGACUGCGUACCUUUUGUAUAAUGGGUCAGCGACUUAUAUUCUGUAGCAAGGUUAACCGAAUAGGGGAGCCGAAGGGAAACCGAGUCUUAACUGGGCGUUAAGUUGCAGGGUAUAGACCCGAAACCCGGUGAUCUAGCCAUGGGCAGGUUGAAGGUUGGGUAACACUAACUGGAGGACCGAACCGACUAAUGUUGAAAAAUUAGCGGAUGACUUGUGGCUGGGGGUGAAAGGCCAAUCAAACCGGGAGAUAGCUGGUUCUCCCCGAAAGCUAUUUAGGUAGCGCCUCGUGAAUUCAUCUCCGGGGGUAGAGCACUGUUUCGGCAAGGGGGUCAUCCCGACUUACCAACCCGAUGCAAACUGCGAAUACCGGAGAAUGUUAUCACGGGAGACACACGGCGGGUGCUAACGUCCGUCGUGAAGAGGGAAACAACCCAGACCGCCAGCUAAGGUCCCAAAGUCAUGGUUAAGUGGGAAACGAUGUGGGAAGGCCCAGACAGCCAGGAUGUUGGCUUAGAAGCAGCCAUCAUUUAAAGAAAGCGUAAUAGCUCACUGGUCGAGUCGGCCUGCGCGGAAGAUGUAACGGGGCUAAACCAUGCACCGAAGCUGCGGCAGCGACACUAUGUGUUGUUGGGUAGGGGAGCGUUCUGUAAGCCUGUGAAGGUGUGCUGUGAGGCAUGCUGGAGGUAUCAGAAGUGCGAAUGCUGACAUAAGUAACGAUAAAGCGGGUGAAAAGCCCGCUCGCCGGAAGACCAAGGGUUCCUGUCCAACGUUAAUCGGGGCAGGGUGAGUCGACCCCUAAGGCGAGGCCGAAAGGCGUAGUCGAUGGGAAACAGGUUAAUAUUCCUGUACUUGGUGUUACUGCGAAGGGGGGACGGAGAAGGCUAUGUUGGCCGGGCGACGGUUGUCCCGGUUUAAGCGUGUAGGCUGGUUUUCCAGGCAAAUCCGGAAAAUCAAGGCUGAGGCGUGAUGACGAGGCACUACGGUGCUGAAGCAACAAAUGCCCUGCUUCCAGGAAAAGCCUCUAAGCAUCAGGUAACAUCAAAUCGUACCCCAAACCGACACAGGUGGUCAGGUAGAGAAUACCAAGGCGCUUGAGAGAACUCGGGUGAAGGAACUAGGCAAAAUGGUGCCGUAACUUCGGGAGAAGGCACGCUGAUAUGUAGGUGAAGUCCCUCGCGGAUGGAGCUGAAAUCAGUCGAAGAUACCAGCUGGCUGCAACUGUUUAUUAAAAACACAGCACUGUGCAAACACGAAAGUGGACGUAUACGGUGUGACGCCUGCCCGGUGCCGGAAGGUUAAUUGAUGGGGUUAGCCGCAAGGCGAAGCUCUUGAUCGAAGCCCCGGUAAACGGCGGCCGUAACUAUAACGGUCCUAAGGUAGCGAAAUUCCUUGUCGGGUAAGUUCCGACCUGCACGAAUGGCGUAAUGAUGGCCAGGCUGUCUCCACCCGAGACUCAGUGAAAUUGAACUCGCUGUGAAGAUGCAGUGUACCCGCGGCAAGACGGAAAGACCCCGUGAACCUUUACUAUAGCUUGACACUGAACAUUGAGCCUUGAUGUGUAGGAUAGGUGGGAGGCUUAGAAGUGUGGACGCCAGUCUGCAUGGAGCCGACCUUGAAAUACCACCCUUUAAUGUUUGAUGUUCUAACGUUGACCCGUAAUCCGGGUUGCGGACAGUGUCUGGUGGGUAGUUUGACUGGGGCGGUCUCCUCCUAAAGAGUAACGGAGGAGCACGAAGGUUGGCUAAUCCUGGUCGGACAUCAGGAGGUUAGUGCAAUGGCAUAAGCCAGCUUGACUGCGAGCGUGACGGCGCGAGCAGGUGCGAAAGCAGGUCAUAGUGAUCCGGUGGUUCUGAAUGGAAGGGCCAUCGCUCAACGGAUAAAAGGUACUCCGGGGAUAACAGGCUGAUACCGCCCAAGAGUUCAUAUCGACGGCGGUGUUUGGCACCUCGAUGUCGGCUCAUCACAUCCUGGGGCUGAAGUAGGUCCCAAGGGUAUGGCUGUUCGCCAUUUAAAGUGGUACGCGAGCUGGGUUUAGAACGUCGUGAGACAGUUCGGUCCCUAUCUGCCGUGGGCGCUGGAGAACUGAGGGGGGCUGCUCCUAGUACGAGAGGACCGGAGUGGACGCAUCACUGGUGUUCGGGUUGUCAUGCCAAUGGCACUGCCCGGUAGCUAAAUGCGGAAGAGAUAAGUGCUGAAAGCAUCUAAGCACGAAACUUGCCCCGAGAUGAGUUCUCCCUGACUCCUUGAGAGUCCUGAAGGAACGUUGAAGACGACGACGUUGAUAGGCCGGGUGUGUAAGCGCAGCGAUGCGUUGAGCUAACCGGUACUAAUGAACCGUGAGGCUUAACCU
rnacentral:rRNA from 1 species